GCAAUGCCACUUCGAAGUUAGCCCAUUUCUACUUUAGACUGUAUCAUUACUUAACACCAGGUGAGAUCGCACGCAAGGGAUAACUUGUAAUGGUAUAAAAAAUGCCAGUGAAAU